UACACGACCGUACCGCAAACCGACACUGGUGCGCGAGAUGAGUAUUCUAAGCCGCUUGAGAGAACUCAGGAGAAGGAACUCGGCAAAUUGACACCGUAACUUCGGAAGAAGGUGUGCCUUUAGUAGGUGAAGUCCCUCGCGGAUGGAGCCCAAUGAGGUUGCAAAAAAUCGGUGGCUGCGACUGUUUAUUAAAAACACAGCACUCUGCAAACACGAAAGUGGACGUAUAGGGUGUGACGCCUGCCCGGUGCUGGAAGAUUAAAUGAUGGGGUGCAAGCUCUUGAUUGAAGUCCCAGUAAACGGCGGCCGUAACAAUAACGGUCCUAAGGUAGCGAAAUUCCUUGUCGGGUAAGUUCCGACCUGCACGAAUGGCGUAACGAUGGCCACACUGUCUCCUCCUGAGACUCAGCGAAGUUGAAAUGUUUGUGAUGAUGCAAUCUCCCCGCGGAAAGACGGAAAGACCCCAUGAACCUUUACUGUAGCUUUGUAUUGGACUUUGAACAGAUCUGUGUAGGAUAGGUGGGAGGCUUUGAAGCAGGGUCGCUAGAUCUUGUGGAGCCAACGUUGAAAUACCACCCUGGUGUGUUUGAGGUUCUAACCUAGGCCCGUAAUCCGGGUUGGGGACAGUGCAUGGUAGGCAGUUUGACUGGGGCGGUCUCCUCCCAAAGUGUAACGGAGGAGUUCGAAGGUACGCUAGUUACGGUCGGACAUCGUGACGAUAGUGCAAUGGCAUAAGCGUGCUUAACUGCGAGACUGACAAGUCGAGCAGAUGCGAAAGCAGGACAUAGUGAUCCGGUGGUUCUGUAUGGAAGGGCCAUCGCUCAACGGAUAAAAGGUACUCUGGGGAUAACAGGCUGAUACCGCCCAAGAGUUCAUAUCGACGGCGGUGUUUGGCACCUCGAUGUCGGCUCAUCUCAUCCUGGGGCUGUAGCCGGUCCCAAGGGUAUGGCUGUUCGCCAUUUAAAGAGGUACGUGAGCUGGGUUUAAAACGUCGUGAGACAGUUUGGUCCCUAUCUUCCGUGGGCGCUGCAGAUUUGAGGAAGCCUGCUCCUAGUACGAGAGGACCGGAGUGGACGCACCUCUGGUGUAUCGGUUGUCACGCCAGUGGCAUUGCCGAGUAGCUAUGUGCGGAAGAGAUAACCGCUGAAAGCAUCUAAGCGGGAAACUCGUUUCAAGAUGAGAUCUGCCGGGGCCUUGAGCCCCCUGAAGAGUCGUUCAAGACCAGGACGUUGAUAGGUCGGGUGUGGAAGCGCAGUAAUGCGUUAAGCUAACCGAUACUAAUUGCUCGUGCGGCUUGACCAA
rnacentral:rRNA from 1 species